rnacentral:rRNA from 1 species
UACGUAGGGUGCGAGCGUUAAUCGGAAUUACUGGGCGUAAAGCGUGCGCAGGCGGUGUUGUAAGACCGAUGUGAAAUCCCCGGGCUUAACCUGGGAACUGCAUUGGUGACUGCAUUGCUCGAGUAUGGCAGAGGGGGGUGGAAUUCCACGUGUAGCAGUGAAAUGCGUAGAGAUGUGGAGGAACACCGAUGGCGAAGGCAGCCCCCUGGGCCAAUACUGACGCUCAUGCACGAAAGCGUGGGGAGCAAACAGG